UUGUUAUUUAUUUUCGCUCCAGGCAAAGCGAUUUGGCGGGAGAGGGUUGGGACUCCAAGACAACUCCAUUGCUGGAGGAGGCCCCAACCUGGGAGAAGAGAGGUUUAGAGAAAUCAGUAGAGCUCAGAGAAGCGAAACCGAAAGGGGGUGUUGGGGACAAGGAGGAGGGAUCCAAGAGGGAGAGUGCAUCCAGGCUGGGUUCUGAAGGAUGAACCGGAGCUCGCGGGCAGGGGGGAGGGGCGAGUGUACCGAGGGCCGCGGCCUUCCAGGAAGAAGGGACAGCGCGUCCUAAGGCACAGGAGCGUGAAAGCCCCCACGGUGCUGUGUUUGGCUUUGUUGCAGCGGAAAAAAGCGAGGGAGGAGAGACAGGAGAUAAGGCUGGCGCGGGAUCGAACUCGGGACCUUGUGGUUGCGAGGCAGGCGGCGGAACCACUGAGUCUGGGCCGUAGCAACUGGCACAUGAGAGACACUCAUUCAAUAUUUUGGGCGUGCAUAAAUGCAUCAUCUAUGCCUUUUAGAGCUAUAGAUCCACAAGUCCCAAAUAGAACACAUUUGGGGCCCAGAAGGGAGCACACAGAUGCAUCGAGCAGGCCAGAAUGGCAUCAGAGAAGAGCAGCCUGCCUGAAGGCACAACUUUUAAUUUCUACCCAAACAACCAACAGGUGAUGAAACAAAAUAAACAAGACUAAAGGCAGGAUUUGACUGGUUUUCUGACUUCUGCUCUGGAUGGCUCAAGUCUCUCUUUUUCAAUCUUCGGGCCAUGACCAUGAGCGAAUGGUGAAAUCAGUCUAGCAGGGUACAGGUACAACUAGC
rnacentral:lncRNA from 1 species